GAUGAACGCUGGCGGCGUUCCUAAUACAUGCAAGUCGAGCGAACAGACGAGGAGCUUGCUCCUCUGACGUUAGCGGCGGACGGGUGAGUAACACGUGGAUAACCUACCUAUAAGACUGGGAUAACUUCGGGAAACCGGAGCUAAUACCGGAUAAUAUAUUGAACCGCAUGGUUCAAUAGUGAAAGACGGUUUUGCUGUCACUUAUAGAUGGAUCCGCGCCGCAUUAGCUAGUUGGUAAGGUAACGGCAUACCAAGGCGACGAUGCGUAGCCGACCUGAGAGGGUGAUCGGCCACACUGGAACUGAGACACGGUCCAGACUCCUACGGGAGGCAGCAGUAGGGAAUCUUCCGCAAUGGGCGAAAGCUUGACGGAGCAACGCCGCGUGAGUGAUGAAGGUCUUCGGAUCGUAAAACUCUGUUAUUAGGGAAGAACAAAUGUGUAAGUAACUAUGCACGUCUUGACGGUACCUAAUCAGAAAGCCACGGCUAACUACGUG
rnacentral:rRNA from 1 species